rnacentral:lncRNA from 1 species
UAGCUCUAAAGCUGUUCCUUUGCCUUUCACUGUAAAUAACUCCAUUUAUAAUAAUGCUAAUGGAAAAUACAUGAACUUCAUUUGGCACUUAAGACUUGCUCACAUUCCUUUUGCAAAUAUGGAAUACAUUUCUGCCUUGUCUCUUUCCCUUGCUUCUAAACAAUCAUUUCCUUGUUCUAUUUGUCCUAUGGCUAGGCAAACUAGGCUUCCUUUCCCUGAUAGUUCCAUCAGUACAAGCAGACCUUUCCUAUUAAUUCAUGUAGAUACUUGGGGUCUUUACCACACACCAACUUUCUCUGGCUCAAGAUAUUUUUCCUGGUUGUUCCAUCAGUACAAGCAGACCUUUCCAAUUAAUCCAUGUAGAUACUUGGGGUCCUUACCGCACACCAACUCCCUCUGGAUCAAGAUAUUUCCUUACAAUAGUUGAUGAUUUUUCUAGGGCCACCUGGACACAUCUACUGGGAUCUAAGAGCAAUGUUUUUUGCAUGGUUAAAGCUCAGUUUGGUGUUACUGUUCCGAGCAAUGCUUUUUGCAUGAUUAUGUCCUUCCUAUCCAUGGUUAAAACUCAGUUUGGUGCUACUGUCCAAACUAUAAGAAGUGAAAAUGCCUUGGAAUUAGGGUCCAACCUUGAUGGGGCUUCUUUCUUCAAACCAACAGGGUAUUAUUCAUCAAACUACCUGUCCCCACACUGCUCAACAAAAUGGUGUUGUUGAAAGAAAACACAAAACACUUCUUGAAGCUUGUAGAGCUUUACUUUUUCAGUCCAAACUGCCUGUAUUAUUUCGGGGGGACUGUUUAUUAACUGCCACAUACCUACUUAAUAGUAUUCCAUCUAGAAUUCUUCAAAACAAAUCCGCUUAUGAAGUGUUAUAUGGUAAGACUCCUAAUUACUUACAUUUGAUGGCAUUUGGUUGUCUUGCUUAUGCUAUUGUCCCCAUUCCACAGAGAGAUAAACUAAAACCUAAAGUACUUUCAUGUGUUUUUCUAGGAUAUCCUUUUGUCAAAAAGGGUUACAAGUUGUAUGAUCUAGCUUCCAAAAGAUGAUUUGUGUCCAUAGAUGUUGUUUUUCAUGAGACAUGUUUUCCUUUUGCAACUAAUUCUGAUAUUACCUCUGUUUCUUUCACAUUUUCUUUUCCUCCUCCUAUUGUACCUUUUUCUGAUCACGAAUAUUCUGGGACACACAUUUCUGUCCCACCUUGUUCACAUGUUCCCUCUCCUUCUGAAUCUUUUCCUUCUGGUUCCAGCUAUGCUCCUUCUUUUGCUUCUGACUCCACACCUUCUGAACCUCUUCCUUCUACAUCCUUCAAUCCUGAUAUUCCACCUUCUGCUAUUUCUUCCUCUACACAACCUCAUAUCAACAGAAGAUUUGGAAGGCAACACACCACUCAUUAUUAUCUCAAAGACUAUGUGUGUCAACUACCUUCUUUUUCUGGAUCUUCUUCCUCUACUUCCAGUCUGGAGUCUGAACCUCUUUAUUAUUCUCAAGCUUCCACAGUUCCAGCUUGGCAGGAUGCCAUGAUAAAGGAGUUUGAUGUAUUGGAUGCCAACCACACUUGGGAUGUUGUUCCCCUUCCUCCUGGUAAGAAACACAUAGGUUGCAAGUGGGUCUAUAAGAUAAAAUAUAGAGCCAAUGGCAGUAUUGAAAGGUAUAAAGCUAGGCUUGUUAUUAGAGGAGACACCCAGAUUGAGGGGGUUGAUUUCGCUGAAACAUUUUCCCCAGUGAUUAAGAUGUCUACUGUCAAAUGUUGAUUGUUGUAGCUAUUAAGAAACAUUGGGAUCUUUUUCAACUUGAUGUCAACAAUACCUUCUUGCAUGGUGACCUAGAUGAGGAAGUGUAUAUGAAGCUCCCUCCAGGUUUGAACAUUUC